rnacentral:rRNA from 1 species
UGGGGAAUAUUGGACAAUGGGCGAAAGCCUGAUCCAGCCAUGCCGCGUGAGUGACGAAGGCCUUAGGGUUGUAAAGCUCUUUUGGCGGGGAAGAUAAUGACGGUACCCGCAGAAGAAGCUCCGGCUAACUUCGUGCCAGCAGCCGCGGUAAUACGAAGGGGGCUAGCGUUGUUCGGAUUUACUGGGCGUAAAGCGCGUGUAGGCGGAUUUGUAAGUUGGGGGUGAAAUCCCGAGGCUCAACCUCGGAACUGCCUCCAAAACUACAAGUCUGGACCUAAGUAGAGGCAAGUGGAAUUGCGAGUGUAGAGGUGAAAUUCGUAGAUAUUCGCAGGAACACCAGUGGCGAAGGCGACUUGCUGGACUUAUGGUGACGCUGAGACGCGAAAGCGUGGGGAGCAAACAGGAUUAGAUACCCCCGUAGUCCUGAGCGGGCUGGCAAGGCGCAU